GCUGGAGACGCCUAGUGGUAGGGCAACGGCCUGAUGAGCCGUAGCGUUCACACGUCUGUGGGUUCGAUUCCCACCUCCAGCG
rnacentral:tRNA from 1 species